rnacentral:rRNA from 1 species
AACGAACGCUGGCGGCAGGCUUAACACAUGCAAGUCGAGCGCCCCGCAAGGGGAGCGGCAGACGGGUGAGUAACGCGUGGGAGCGUACCCUUUGCUACGGAAUAGCUCCGGGAAACUGGAAUUAAUACCGUAUGUGCCCUACGGGGGAAAGAUAUAUCGGCAAAGGAUCGGCCCGCGUUGGAUUAGCUAGUUGGUGGGGUAAUGGCCUACCAAGGCGACGAUCCAUAGCUGGUCUGAGAGGAUGAUCAGCCACAUUGGGACUGAGACACGGCCCAAACUCCUACGGGAGGCAGCAGUGGGGAAUAUUGGACAAUGGGCGCAAGCCUGAUCCAGCCAUGCCGCGUGAGUGAUGAAGGCCUUAGGGUUGUAAAGCUCUUUCACCGGAGAAGAUAAUGACGGUAUCCGGAGAAGAAGCCCCGGCUAACUUCGUGCCAGCCGCUGCCGUAACAC